UGCAUGGUGGCACAGUUGGUAGCACUGUUGCCUUACUGUUGCCUUGUCCUGGGUUCAACUCCCGGCCAGGGGUCUUUCUGCAU